GGUCAAGCGACCAUCUCGCUAAACCGUUUCCAAGAGUUAUCCUCUAUUUCGUACCAGUCGCGCUGACGCAGCGAGAGGAGUGGGUACUACUGCGGGUAUGUUAAGCGGCCUUUCCGGUGACGCUGAGUUCAUCAGUCCUUUCGCUUUAUAUUUCCUCCAUUCCAGUCACGGCUCCUCAUCAAAUCGCCUGCCUCUUCCUCCUUAAUCCUCAUCGAUCGCCACUUAAUUGCAAUCCAUCUCACGUUCUUCGUCAAUGAUCUCCGCCUUUAGGUGCUGUCAGUGGCAUAAGACAAUAUGAAAGAGUUUUGUCAUGAUCGGUUCAUGGAAUCUGGUCCUCGAUUGUGCGUCUUUAAUGUAACUAGACCAUAGGCAUCUAUCUGCUUUUCUCUGUCAGACGUCUGCCAUCUUCAUCAGCUCUGUUGGAUUGGAUGUUGCAUUCUGCUGCAAACAAUUUGUUGACAGUGAAAGUCAUGGCACGAGAAUGAUUGCAGCUUCUUUUACAGCAAUUGCAUCGACUUUCAUCUUUCUUGACUGAAUCACAGCAACUUCGCUAGAAAGUGCUGCUAAAUGGGCACUAGUUUGGUGCAAUAGCCCUGGGCUACCAAUCGAUCACUUCUCUGUUGAUAUUUUUUAGUUUCCAUCUUGAAAAACUAGUAAUACUUGUUCUAGUUUUUUUACAACAAAUGUAAAUACUUUAUUUACUGAUCUAUCUAAUUGUUGAUGUUCUAUUGUA